CAGCUCGCAGGAGGCACAGAUCUGCUAAAUACUCUGAUGGGAACGCGGCCAUCAUCACUAUGGGAUGGAGUAACUGAAGAGCUGUGCAUGCUGAUUCCUGACGGUGGAAAUGAAGGUCUUGUUGCUGUGAAACUGAGCCGGCACAUUAUCUGAGAUUAUUCCUGAGGACUCCAGUUAUUCUGAGUUUUAACUUCUUUAUGAUGUGGGGGAAAUAAUCAAAAGGGGUUCUUUUACUAUGUGCACUAGUAUAUAUAUAUAUAUAUAUAUAUAUAAUUUCUUCUUUAAUAUACUGUCUGUUUGUAAAUGUGCACAGCCUGAAAGCUACCUGAGUGUUAAAGAAGGGAAACAGGAAGUGAAUGAGAACUGAAAUGUGGAUGACUACCCAGGAAGAGGAUCAGAUCAGAUGUAAUUCCUCAGAGCACGCUGUUGUACUUUUAUUAUGAUUGUAUUACUAUGAGCAAAACAUGUAUUACUUUAUUUAGUCCAAUGAUAAUAAGAUUGAGAUAUGUAACAUCUUUAGGGGAAUAAUAGAAGUGAAGCAUACAGCAGCAUUACGCAACAACAUCCCCUCCAAUGAAACACACAGGAUCAGCUGAUACGAGGAACUCCUACACAACACAAGUCAUUCAGUGAAAGAUCACCUCUCUGCCAUUAGACCCAGAUUAGAUGAGACGUAUUACCUGUCACUGCUGGCAACAUCAGGACAUAUACGAGUACUGCUCAGAUCAAAUGACGGUAUAGCCAAACAUCGAUGUAUUAUUUACAAUGAUCCCAAUCCACAGCAACAUGGUCUAAAACUCUACGCUCAUUUGAUAUAUUUGUUUUUCCAAGAAUAAAAUGAAGCGCAGAUCAAAAAUGAAAACACGAAGAAGCACAAAACGUCUUAACUUGAGACGUUGUGAGUUUUAAAGAAGUGAAUUAUUAUCAGACUUAAGUCAUUCCCAAUGGAGAGGUUGUUGCACGCUGUUGUACCUUUACUAGGGUUGUAUUACUAUGAGCCAAACAUACUUUACUUUAUUUAGUAAUACAUGGAUUAUAUUUAGAAAUGUAACAUCUUAAUAUGUGUCCGAUGAAGAAAAGUGAUCAGAAAAGGGUUUUAUUAGGAUGAUUUUAUUACUAUACGCAGAAAGGUUAGGGUUAGUUCACCAAGUGAUGUGACGUAUGAAUACCAUUCAGUCAUUGAGCAAUUAUAUCUAUAAAUGUAACAAUUAGAUUUAGAAAUGUAACACCUUUAGUGAAAUAACAGAAGUGUCUAAUGAAGGGUUUAGAGGGGUUCACUGGUAUAUAUAUAUGUAUAUAUAUAUAAUUUAUUCUUUAAUAUACUGUCUUCUUUUAAAUGUGCACAGCCUGAAAGCUACCUGAGUGUUAAAGAAGGGAAACAGGAAGUGAAUGAGAACUGAAAUGUGGAUGACUACCCAGGAAGAGGAUCAGAUCAGAUGUAAUUCCUCAGAGCACGCUGUUGUACCUUUAUUGUGAUUUUAUUACUAAUGGAACCAAAAACAAUUAAUAAAGUGAGUGGGAAAAAGAAA